UUCUACGUGGGGCAGCCGCGCGAAAACUUUCCAACAGGGCAAGCAGAUAAGAAACCCGAGGCCAGCACUAUACUGGCUGUCCACGGCUUAAAAACACGUAGGCAGAC
rnacentral:rRNA from 1 species